rnacentral:rRNA from 1 species
CUCAGGACGAACGCUGGCGGUAUGCUUAACACAUGCAAGUCGAACGAGACGAGAUGGAAGUGCUUGCACGGAAAUCUUAGAAAGUGGCGAACGGGUGAGUAACGCGUGGGUAACCUGCCCUAUGGAAAGGAAUAGCCUCGGGAAACUGGGAGUAAUGCCUUAUAAUACAUUGAAGUCGCAUGGCUUUGAUGUUAAACGCUCCGGUGCCAUAGGAUGGACCCGCGUCCCAUUAGCUAGUUGGUGAGAUAACAGCCCACCAAGGCGACGAUGGGUAACCGGUCUGAGAGGGCGAACGGUCACACUGGAACUGAGACACGGUCCAGACUCCUACGGGAGGCAGCAGUGGGGAAUAUUGCGCAAUGGGGGCAACCCUGACGCAGCAAUACCGCGUGAGUGAAGAAGGUUUUCGGAUCGUAAAGCUCUGUUAUUGGGGAAGAAAAAAAGACGGUACCCAAGAAGAAAGUCCCGGCUAACUACGUGCCAGCAGCCGCGGUAAUACGUAGGGGACAAGCGUUGUCCAGAUUUACUGGGCGUAAAGG